UUUUUUAGUUAAAUCUUAGUUUUUUUUUUUAAAGUAUUUACGUAUUUUAAUUUUUAAAUAUUUCAUUUUAUCUCUGGUCAGGUGACACUACUGAGGGUCUUCCUAUUCGAAUAUUUCAUAAUGUCAUAUAAACUUUGUCAUCAUACUUACUGAUUAUUGUAAAAUAGAUUGUAAAUAUAUGUAAAAAAAAAAAAAAAAAUAAAAUAUUUCAUUUUUACAUAAAAAUCAUUUUGAACAUUUAAACUCGUGUUGUACCUGCCAAACAACAUCUAAGUAUUUAUUUUAUCGUACUCUUAUUUUAUUAUUGACUUUAUACUCCAAAAAGCGAUCGAAGCAGAGCAUUUACCAGCAGAGAUAAGUAUCGAAUUACAAACGCUUUACCAUUACAGUAACCCACUUUUUUCCCCGGAUAGAACCGACAGCAGAGGAGGAUCUGUUUACUCAAUGCUACUCCUCUGCAGCCAUCGUUUAUUAAUGAAUAACAUUAAAGAUAUUUAAGCACGAUACCGUACAAACGAAUAUACACAGUAACCCACUUAACAUUUGCUAUACUACAGCAGAAUGCAGGUGCCUAAUCGUGCACCCUUUUUUUUAUUAAAUUGUUAUCAACCUUUGAUUCAAAGUUUUUUUCCGACACUUGAAGAUUGAGUUUUUAAGUCUCUAUGACAUAAAAUCGCCGAUUACACAUCAUCAUUUUAAACUUACUGUUGUGCGUGAGCUCAGAACCAAAAGGCGCUAAAUCAAUUUUUCAAAAAUCCAUAUUUUGAUACACGCGUGGAUCAAUUGAUCAAUGCUCUAUAAUCCAAGCUCACAUCCAACCUCGUAGGUCCAUUAUUUAAAGAUUAAUACAGAACUAAAAGGUGCUAAAUCGAUCAAAUCUACACAUUUGUUAUUUGAUAGCGAUCUUAAUAGCACCUUUUGGUUCUUAACAAUAGGUAGUAUUAAAACCUAAAGGUUCUAUCUAUAUGAUAAAAUAAAUUAGUGAAAACCAAAAAGUAAUAUCUCAUAUUCACUGUAUCGACCACACAAUAAUAAUAUGAUACUACAAUGUUAUUAAUUAUUGUACAUUUUUAUCAACAAAACAAAGAUUGUCAUGAAUAACUUACAGUAUUUAAAGUACCAACACCUCAAAGGGGGAAGAUAAAAGUUUGGGUGGUAUGGCCGUUACAAAUAUCCUACGUUGAAAAUAUCCCCGUUACAAAUAUCCCAACUAAAAAUAUCCUAUGUACAAAAUAUCCCCAGUAAUAUUAUCCCUUAAUUCAUAACAAUAUACAUAAAAAAUAUUUUUUUUUAAAUGACAAAUAAGAACCAGUCUAACUUCUCAAAAACUAUGUUAGUCAUACUAACAUACACACUAUGUGUAUAUCAUAGUAUAUAAUGUAUAUCAGUAGAAUUCAAUAUAAUAGUCAUUUAUGGACUUAUGGUUAUCUCAUGUUCGAUAUCUUUAUACAUAAUAUAAAGCACGGUUAUCUUAAGCCAUGAUAUAAAGCCGCGUAAUCAGAUACUAUUAGAACCUGUAAUAUUAAUACCUGUAUUUUGUUCAAAUAAUAAAAAUAAUAAUUGAAAUUUUCGGCAAUAUAUCGGAAUUACACGCAUUUCUCAACUUUAUACAAUAUGCUCUCGUAAAAGUAAUACUACGUUUCCUUUAAUUUAUAUUUUAAUGACUGACAGAACAAAAGAAACGUAUUCAGAAAUGUUUAAAUGUUCAAAAACUAAAAAACCAAACCUUAAUCUAUGUUAAUGGUUGAUUUUUAAAAUGCUUUUAUAUCAACUUUUAAAGAAGAAUUUCCAAGGCGGUAAUUAGAGAUUGCUUUUUUCAAUUUACCCGGUUAGUUUGGAUGAAAAUAUAAAAUAGUGGCCUACAGACAAAAUAUGGUCAAGAUUCUGAAUUUUCAUUACAAGUUCAACUUCUUUGUUCGUUGUCAUUUACACCACAAAAUAAAAUACGAGGAUUAGACGUUCAGGGCGGAAAGACGAAGAGGAGCACAUUUUAAUAUUGACUUGUGGAAUUGUUAUCAAUCAGUUAUUCACAAACAAUCCCGUUGAAUGGUGGCACCACGUCUUUAAUGGAUCUCUACAGGAGCUCAUCAUGCAUCGAUAUGGGAAUUUAUCAAGUGUAUCCAAUUAGAGCAAGGCCUUCAAGAAGCAAAAAUUGAAAAAUACAUGUCUGAUGAGCUACCCGUUAAAAAAAUGAAAGUUUACGAUAAGUUGGACGGACAAUUAAAAGAAGUGGUUCUUAACUAUGAUUUAUGAACAUGUUACUGUACUGAACUAUUGAAAAGGCAUUGCGUGUAAUUUUUCAUUUAAAAAAAUCUUUUAUAUGUAUGUUUAAUUUUAAAAAUAAUGUUAAUUUUAAGA